UACGGAGGGUGCGAGCGUUGUUCGGAAUUACUGGGCGUAAAGCGCGUGUAGGCGGCCUUCUAAGUCUGGUGUGAAAUCCUGCGGCUCAACCGCAGACGGUCGUGGGAAACUGGAAGGCUAGAGUGCGGGAGAGGAGAGUGGAAUUCCCGGUGUAGCGGUGAAAUGCGCAGAUAUCAGGAGGAACACCGAUGGCGAAGGCAGGUCUCUGGGCAUUAACUGACGCUGAGGAGCGAAAGCAUGGGGAGCGAACAGG
rnacentral:rRNA from 1 species